UUUGUUGUGUUGACCAUAUAUUUUAAUUGAGUUUCUUCAACGUGGUGAAACAGCGCCCCUCUGGAUUGUAAAGUUAGGUCAAUGUCAGUUCGCGUCUAACUGAAGUGAGCAAGGUGAAGUUAGUAUCCUUUGACAGUUAAAACUAGCUAGGUUAGCAUUAGCUAGCCGUUAACUAGCCGUUAGCCGUUAUCUAUACAACCAAGCAUAUGCAGUCUGUGAAACUGUUAAUGAACAGGAUUGUAAAAGAAAUGAACUAUGAAGCCACCCUCUCUCAGGCCUCAUGCUAAACAAAUUACAGACUUUAGCAACAUCAUUUAAACCGGUAGAUGGCUAGUUUUCCAGUAGUAUUAUCAGCUAAAGCUACCGUGUUUUGUAAGACUGGUUAGUCGGUGGUGAUGGAGAAAAGAGUUAACAGCAACAAGUACACCGGGAUAUGGCUAUCGCCUGGAUGCUCACCGUUAGCUACACUUCCAUUGAAGAUAAUGGGCUUCGGCGUCAACAACCUGAAGUGUGGAGCCUGCAUUCCUGUGUUGACAUUGCUUUGGCUGGGGAGAGAUGUUAAGGCUAUAGGACUGGCUGUGCACUGACAUCUGACAUCAACACAGAAAAACAUUCCCUCUCACUGAGACUUCAUCUACUUGCCUCUGCAGCGCUCUGACAGGGAGAAAAAAGUAGGUGGGGAUACAAAAAAGAAAGAAACCGAGGAACUGUUGCAUGUUUAGCUACUGUAGUUUUCCUCUAGGAUAUCAUUAGCUGUAAUUCUGCCUUCAAAUGGUAACCAGAUGACAGUGAGUGCUCUCUCUCACACACACACACAUACAGACACACAAACACAUACAUGAGACACAUAUUUAACAAAACCUUUUAACUUAUAGCAUUUUUCUGUCACUAUUUUAGAUAAAUCUGCUGUAAAUAAAACAUUUUUUAAAUAGUGCAAAUCUACAUCCAUAAAACGAAAGCAUUUUUAGACCGCAGCAACACAGCGGAGAAAAGCACAGUUUCUAAUGCGUCUGACAGAAACAGAAAGGGAGGAAACGGGAGAUGUAGAAUUGUCUCUGCGGCUGAAAGAGAGAGCGCUGCGUGUGUGAAUAUGCUAUCUGCAGGUAGCAGCCAGGGCAGGGUAGGAUCAAAGAGAGGCGUUUGCUGGCCUGGUCCCCAGCCAGAAGACCUCUCACCUCGUGGCAGGCGGCGUGAGCCCUGUGGACGUGACAAGGAUGGCGAGGGGGGCUUGGCUGUGUGAGUGGGAGAGACGACCGGGAGCAGGACAGAGACAGAAAGGGACGGUGUGGAUUUUGUAUGUAUUUGUAAGUGCAUGUUAUAAAGAGAAAAAGAAUCUAAGGAGCGCUUUUCUCAACAUGGUGACUAAGUGUAGGUUACUAAUGGGGGAUGAAGAGUAUGCCCCAGAGAGGGAGGGGAUGACAGGAAGAAGCCCCUUUCACCCUAGGAUCCGUCUUUAGUCCUAAGUGGGUAUUCACACUGAAAAUAGGGUUGCAUUAAAAAAAAACAUAACAAGCUGCAUUUGUGUGAAUGCGUUGCUAUGGGUACCAAUGAAGAUGAUGUUAUCGAGGAGGUUCAGUUUGAGUAACAGAUCCAUAAACUUGAAGACAGCAGGACUACCGAUCUAGAAAGCUGUCCUGUCUUGACAAUCACAAGGUAAACAGUAGAAAUGAUCCCGAUCUGAUCACAAAGCAAUCUACCGUAAAUAUGUGUUUGCAUGUAUUCGAUUGACCACUAAAGUAUGUUGCAGGAUGACUGAUCUGAAAGUACGGGCGGCGAUGAGAGUUUGGAAGAGCAAAGACGAAUGAAAGGAACAUGUGAUGGUGAACUUUGGUAUAGACGAGGACGAGGAGGAGGAGGAGGAGACUUUGAGUGAGAUUUUUUUUUUUUUGUCCUUGGAGUGUGAAUAUGUUAGCAGUAGGAUUCUGGAGAAGUCCCGAGGAAAGAAGUUGAGUCUUAAAAGAACAAAGCGAGCGGAUGAGAGUUGGAGGAUGAGAAAGACAGUUUUGACAAUGUGAUUGAUGUGAGGUUUGAGGGAAAGAAUGGAAUCAAAAUGCGAGAGAGAGAACUGGCAAACGAGGGGGCUGUCAACACGGAGGGAGAAGCUUUGCAUGUGCUUGUUGAGGGAUACAGAACCAAUGAUGACGACUACAGAUUCAUGACAGUUGAAUAUGAGAAAAAUGGUUUUCAUCCAUUUUUAAAAUUUUUUUUUAUAUCCUUGAGGCAGUUGGUGGCAUUAAUGGAGUAUGUGGUUAUAGUUACGGAUCAUGGCUAAGUAGCUAGAAUAUUCUUUGCUAAUUUGGAUGCAGGGCUUCAUUUCAAAGCAUUGAAGCAUUUGUUUUUAAACCAGAGCCUGUACUAACGUUGUCAAUUUUAGAUUUAAGAGGCAGUGUUUUUGACGUGGACUUGCACAACACAUGCAUUUAAAUGGCUAAACAUUCUUAUUCCUGGACAGAAGAUUCUUUCUAAUUUCUAUCUCUGUCAAUCUCUCAUCCCUACUAUUAACAGUUUCAGCCUCUUUUUUCCUGUUUGUAUGUGAGUGACAGAAAAAGAACCAGACACAGUGUGCAGUAAUAGUGUUUGCCUGCAUGUAUGAUAUGUGUGUCUGUUUUGAAAAAAAAGCUGAAAGAACAAAUUAUUGCGAAGCAUCAAACUCAGGUUUUACCGGCUGAAACCGACUAGUGGCAAUACACGUCUAAAGUUGUCACACGGUAUGCCAACAUGCACAGCCUGCGGCAAUGAAAUUAAUUAGUUUGCUCUCAAGUUUGAAUCAUACGACGCCGGUCUAGGUGCGUGUUUGUGUGUGCAUUGUAUUACGUGCUUGGUUGUGCGAGUCUGCGUUGAAAGGAUGUUGACAUACUUUACCCUGUAGCAUUCCAAGGAAAAUCACAGGUCACUGGGAGAGGCUACCUGCGACGCUAACACAGAGGAUGUGUCCUUUCUACAACAACUUCACGUAGCCACGUAGCUCCCAAGCAACGACGACGCACAUGCAGCGAAAGUGAACGUUUUCAAAAGGCUUGACCCAACUCCCACAAAACCAAAUUUCAUGACUUAACCCUCAGCAGUAUCUAAAAAGGUUUUAUUUUUCUCACUUUUUGUCAGAGCGGUCAUGGAGCCGGGUCAGAUACCAUUGUUGAUCCAUUCAUGACAAUGACGUUGCUUUAGUGUGAAAGCAGUAUAAGUAACAAGGAAGGAAAGUAAGGAAAUGAGAAAAGCGAACAGAGAUGGAAAUGUGAAGAAUAGAAACGGAGAAUAACGAUUAUAGAACUUUCUCUGUAAUAGCAUAGAAAGUGAAGUGCAUGUCUUCCUGUCCCCUCUAGUGUGUAACAAUUCUGGUAUGAUGCUCAUUCAGUCAGUCCAUUGUUUCUCGCGGCUUAUUUAUGUUGCGAGGGCCCUCAGCCAAAAGCAAUAAAUUUAAAACUGCCCCAGGGGUGGCAUUACAGGACAGGUUGUUGAGAGCAGAGGAGAGAGAGAGAGAGCAAGAAUGACAACGAGAGAGACUGUAAAUACAAGAUAGCAGGCACGUAAAAGAGAGAGGGGAGCUGAAAUGCUUUGGCUGAAACGAUUAGGACACAUACCAGACACAAAUGAAUAAUGAUUCUUGCCUUGUCUGUAUGGAAAUUAGGUUUAGCUGUUCCGUUUGCUUUAUGUGUUUGUGUAACUGUGAUAAAAAUGUCUUUCAUUCAGAAUUACACGAAGCUACAUACAGUAUAACUGUAACAUUAACUAUAAAAGUUCAUGUCUUCUGAAGACAUUAUGACAAGUAUGUUGUCAUUGUUUAAAUAUGUAAAGGUGCACUAUAAUUGGUAACCGUGUGUGUAUUCAUUUUAAUUUUGAGGGCAAGUUUUGAAACUAUAAAUGUUUGCAUAUUCGUAGAGUCGGGAUAAUAGAAGGAGUAGAUGUCAUUGUAAGAAUAUUUAAAUGCAAAAAAAAACAAAUUGUGUUUUUACAUUUGAUCACAAAAAAAUAAAAAUUAACUAGUCAACGAAGCAUUUUUAGAUUUCUGAAAACAUGUCUGGUUUUGUGCCUAAUAGUGAGCCCAAAUUUUGAAAUUUUAUCUGAGCUCAAUGUGCAAUUUUUCAAUCUCAAAUCUGAAUUAUGUGUUAAAUUGACUUUAAAAACAUUAAAAAAUUGUAUUUUAUUUUUUGUGAGCUGUACUGAGCUAUAAUAAAAUCUGACAGUAAACCCACAGGGAUCAUUUAAUUAUUAUUCGUUGAUAAAAGAAAUUAUGAAAAAUGUGAAUUCCUACUGUAAGCGACAGGAAGUGCUACACCGUUCAAAAUUUGCACUGAUGACCAGCUGCUGAUUCUAGAUAUGCAGCGUCUAGCUCACACAUGUAACUCUGAGGAUUUCCCAAAUUGUUUUUUUUUUCUGUAAAAUCCCUGUAGUAUAGGAUUUGCUCUAUGUUUCAUGAUCCCUACUUUAGGCCUUUUGAUGUAACUUACUCUGCAGCUGACGCCUGCCAACAGUAGAGAAAGAAGAGAUUUAGAGCUGCCACAGUCAGAUACAGUGGGUGAUCGGUGAUAAGAGGCAAAGAUGUGAGGUCCUGACAUCCAUGUCUCAUUUAAUAAGUGAUCUGAGUCUGGGGCCACAGCAGAACAGACAGAUAGACAGGUACAUCAAAGAACUCGGGGGGUCUGGCUUCAGGAGGAGAUGGAGCCGUUGUGGGAUCAAAGUGUCAGAGGAAAAAGAG